GUGGGAGCUGACGGGGUAAUAUGGAGGAUGCAAGCGUUAUCCGGAUUCAUUGGGUUUAAAGCGUGCGCAGGCGGAUGGGUAAGUCAGAGGUGAAAGCCUGCAGCUUAACUGUGGAAUUGCCUUUGAUACUGUCCAUCUUGAGUCCAGCUGAAGUAGGCGGAAUGUAGUAUGUAGCGGUGAAAUGCUUAGAUAUACUACAGAACACCCAUUGCGAAGGCAGCUUACUAAACUGGUACUGACGCUCAGGCACGAAAGCGUGGGGAGCAAACAGGAUUAGAUACCCGUGUAGUCC
rnacentral:rRNA from 1 species